rnacentral:rRNA from 1 species
AUUGAACGCUGGCGGCAGGCCUAACACAUGCAAGUCGAACGAGUGGCGGACGGGUGAGUAAUGUCUGGGAAACUGCCCGAUGGAGGGGGAUAACUACUGGAAACGGUAGCUAAUACCGCAUCCCAUCGGAUGUGCCCAGAUGGGAUUAGCUAGUAGGGGGGGUAACGGCUCACCUAGGCGACGAUCCCUAGCUGGUCUGAGAGGAUGACCAGCAACACUGGAACUGAGCCACGUUCCAGACUCCUACGGGAGGCAGCAGUGGGGAAUAUUUCACAAUGGGCGCAAGCCUGAUGCAGCCAUGCCGCGUGUGUGAAGAAGGCCUUCGGGUUGUAAAGCACUUUCAGCGAGGAGGCGUUACUCGCAGAAGAAGCACCGGCUAACUCCGUGCCAGCAGCCGCGGUAAUAC